rnacentral:rRNA from 1 species
GGAAUCUUCCACAAUGGGCGAAAGCCUGAUGGAGCAACGCCGCGUGUGUGAUGAAGGCUUUCGGGUCGUAAAGCACUGUUGUAUGGGAAGAACAGCUAGAAUAGGGAAUGAUUUUAGUUUGACGGUACCAUACCAGAAAGGGACGGCUAACUCCGUGCCAGCAGCCGCGGUAAUACGGAGGGUGCAAGCGUUAAUCGGAAUUACUGGGCGUAAAGCGCACGCAGGCGGUCUGUUAAGUCAGAUGUGAAAUCCCCGGGCUUAACCUGGGAACUGCAUUUGAAACUGGCAGGCUUGAGUCUUGUAGAGGGGGGUAGAAUUCCAGGUGUAGCGGUGAAAUGCGUAGAGAUCUGGAGGAAUACCGGUGGCGAAGGCGGCCCCCUGGACAAAGACUGACGCUCAGGUGCGAAAGCGUGGGGAGCAAACA